GGACAAUUAGCUCAGUUGGUAGAGCGGCGGAAUCAUAACCCGCAGGUCGCCAGUUCGAUCCUGGCAUUGUCCA
rnacentral:tRNA from 1 species